rnacentral:rRNA from 1 species
GACGAACGCUGGCGGCGUGCCUAAUACAUGCAAGUCGAACGCUGAAGAGAGGAGCUUACUCUUCUUGGAUGAGUUGCGAACGGGUGAGUAACGCGUAGGUAACCUGCCUUGUAGCGGGGGAUAACUAUUGGAAACGAUAGCUAAUACCGCAUAACAAUGGAUGACACAUGUCAUUUAUUUGAAAGGGGCAAUUGCUCCACUACAAGAUGGACCUGCGUUGUAUUAGCUAGUAGGUGAGGUAAUGGCUCACCUAGGCGACGAUACAUAGCCGACCUGAGAGGGUGAUCGGCCAAACUGGGACUGAGACACGGCCCAGACUCCUACGGGAGGCAGCAGUAGGGAAUCUUCGGCAAUGGGGGCAACCCUGACCGAGCAACGCCGCGUGAGUGAAGAAGGUUUUCGGAUCGUAAAGCUCUGUUGUAAGUCAAGAACGGGUGUGAGAGUGGAAAGUUCACACUGUGACGGUAGCUUACCAGAAAGGGACGGCUAACUACGUG